rnacentral:ribozyme from 1 species
AAAAAAAAGAAAAGACAAGAAAGGCUACAAGAAAGAUUCAAAAAAACAAAAGGUUUCUCUAUUUCUAUUUGCUUUUCUUUUGUUGCUUUU